GAUGAACGCUAGCGGCAGGCCUAAUACAUGCAAGUCGGACGGGAUAGAGGAGCUUGCUUCUCUUGAGAGUGGCGCACGGGUGCGUAACACGUAUGUAACCUACCUUAGUCAGGGGGAUAGCCUCUCGAAAGAGAGAUUAAGACCGCAUAAUAUCAUUUUGUGGCAUCGCAGGAUGAUCAAAUAUUUAUAGGACUAAGAUGGGCAUGCGCAACAUUAGCUAGUUGGUGUGGUAACGGCAUACCAAGGCUACGAUGUUUAGGGAUCUGAGAGGAUGACCCCCACACUGGUACUGAGACACGGACCAGACUCCUACGGGGAGCAGCAGUAAGGAAUAUUGGUCAAAUGGACGGAAGUCUGAACCAGCCAUGCCGCGUGCAGGAAGAAGGCCUUUCUGGGUUGUAAACUGCUUUUGCCAGGGGAUAAAAUUUCCAUGCGUGGAAAACUGAAAGGUACCUGGUGAAUAAGCCACGGCUAACUACGUGCCAGCAGCCGACGG
rnacentral:rRNA from 1 species